rnacentral:tRNA from 1 species
GCGCUCGUAGCUCAGCUGGAUAGAGCAACGGCCUUCUAAGCCGUGGGUCGCAGGUUCGAGUCCUGCCGGGCGUGCCA